CACGUUAAAGAGUUUACUCUUUAUGGUGGCGACCGGCGGACGGGUGCGUAACGCGUAUGCAACCUGCCUGACACAGGGGGAUAAUCCGAAGAAAUUUGGUCUAAUACCCCAUAAUACCGAUAUAGGCAUCUAUGUUGGUUGAAAGCUUUGGUGGUGUCAGAUGGGCAUGCGUUGUAUUAGCUAGUUGGUGAGGUAACGGCUCACCAAGGCGACGAUACAUAGGGGGACUGAGAGGUUGAACGGCCACAUUGGGACUGAGAUACGGCCCAGACUCC
rnacentral:rRNA from 1 species